rnacentral:rRNA from 1 species
GACGAACGCUGGCGGCGUGCUUAACACAUGCAAGUCGAACGGAGUGGCGAACGGGUGAGUAACACGGGGGUGACCUGCCCUGCACUUCGGGAUAAGCCUGGGGAACUGGGUCUAAUACCGGAUAGUGUGGGAUGGGCCCGCGGCCUAUCAGCUUGUUGGGGGGGUAUUGGCCUACCAGGGCGGCGACGGGUAGCCGGCCUGGGAGGUGGGACGGCCACAUUGGGCCUGCGACACGGCCCAGACGCGUACGUGAGGCAGCAGUGGGGAAUAUUGCACAAUGGGCGGAAGCCUGAUGCAGCGACGCUGCGUGGGGGAUGACGGCCUUCGGGUUGUAAACUCCUUUCACCAUCGACGCGGUAGAUGGAGAAGAAGCAACGGCUAACUACGUGCCAGCAGCCGCGGUAAUUC